CCUCUGCAGCAGAAUGACUCUUCCCUCACACAUAAAACUGUUGGAAAGCGGAACAAACCAGCUCAGGCUCCCCCCGGAUCAUCCGGCAGCGCCGCAGCCACCUCCAACCAGCCGGGCUAUCACUGCCUUCAUCGCUGUGCCGGGGUAUGGUGGCAUUUACACAGCUGCUCAGCAGGAAAAGCCUUCUCCCUGCUCCACAUAAACCUUUGCAUUUAAAAGUAAUUGGGUGCAGGCUGGCUAAUGGGGAUGGUAAAUGGGGAGAGGGGAUAA